AUUUAAAUAGCUUAAUUAGAGCAUAGUAUUGAAGUUACUAGGGUAAUAACUUUUAUUUUUAAAUA
rnacentral:tRNA from 1 species